rnacentral:lncRNA from 7 species
AUCCUAAGCCGGCACCGAUGAACCAAGCACGGGAUGUAGGGAUGGAUGGCCUCGGACCAUGGCGUUUCCUUGCCGGUACGGGUCCGUCGUCGUGCCGCUGAGGUUGGGCAGACCUGGGCAUGCUUCGAAGGGUUGGCAUGCGCUGCGCCGUGGCCGGAAUUGUUGCCGCCACGGACCCGUCGUCGGUCAAGAACAGGUACCACAGGAUGAGGCGCUUGGAGGAUGUUGUAAUGAGUUCGUGAGUGGUCUAGGCCGUCGUCUCCCAGUCAACUUUGGGUUGCUGGACCGUUGUCUCCUUAUAAUGUAAUUAUUUAUUUUGUAUAGAAUUCAUGUUAUGUAGUAAAGAUGUGACAUUCGAUC